rnacentral:lncRNA from 10 species
GAAUGACAUGGGGAAAUGGAAGGAGAAAAAAAAAAACAAUGCUAAAAAGCCUAGAGAUGACCACAUAUGAAACGACCAUGUGUGUAAAGGAUUGCUGGAAAAUAAAUCAGGAAGUAUGAGGAGAUUUUCCUCCAGUAUUCACUGUGAGAAACUGGUCCUGCUCCUGGAGGCAAAUUCACAAAAGCACGGAGGCCCUGAUGACUGAGUGCCCCCCAGUUUUUAAUCUCUGGGGCUCGUUGGCUCUGGGCCUCCAGCCACUCAUCAGUGAUGUUCAGGUUUCCCUACCUUGGCACUGCUUCCCACGGAGGCUUGGGUCCCAGCUCCAAAAUGUCUCAUUAUCUGUAUUUGAAUAUCCCCAAAUUUGAAAAAUUCAAAAUCUGAAACACUUCUGAUCCCAAGCAUUUCA